ACACUAAGAGACUGAUAUCGAACUGUCCACCACUGGGUGUUGAAACAGGGGAAAUGGCAGCUCCAAUGGCUAUCAGGUUGUUGGUUUGUAUGAAGCCUGAACACAGAAGGAACCUACAGUCCAGUAAGUGAAGAACCUUGGAGAACUAUCACCAUAGAGCUGCGGACUCACCUGAAGCAGGAAGAAGAGCACAGAGAUGUCUUUCUCAGUAUUAUUCAAGUUCAUAGUUCUUUUUAAGCCAAAUUUAGUACCUGCCACCCAGCUUCAAUGGUGUUGA